UCUAUGUUUGUUAUUAGCCGAGCGUCUUUGCCCUAUUCGCCUUGCCGCACUCUAAACCCCCGCUCCGCCUCCUCCGCCGCUGCUCCCCUGCGUCUCCUCGGCAGGCCGCCUCGAUCGUCCCCUUUCUUUCCCUUCCGUUUCCCUCAGGUCGGAUUCGGAGAGUGGGUCGUAGAUAAUAUGUUCGCGACGGCGGUUCGAUGGAUGGCAAAGAAGCCAAAGCCGAAGAUGAAGCCCAUCGAGCCCCGGACGCCGCCGGAGCAGACCCAGACCGUCACCCGCGCUAUAUUCGAUGUCGUCAAGGAGCACGGGCCCCUUACUGUCGCCGACACUUGGGACCACCUAAAGGAUUUAAGAGACCAUAGAAGGUUUCGGGGAGGUUGGCCUUUGUGGACGAACACGUAAGGGUGCCGCAUGACUUAAGCAAAACCAACUAAGUUCGUGAUAGUUCGUCAAGGAAAAUGCCACAACGAUAAGAUCUCAUUGGAGGAAGACAUCAUCCUUGCUGUUGCCAUUUGUCGAUGGAGAGGAAGACAACCGUCGUUCACUAAGGAAACACCACAAUCACUGGGGAGAAACGUUCCAUCGCAUUGUUUUUAGGGCAUGGGUGCAUGCGCAUGCAAAGGGGGAGGGGGAUGUUAGGGUGAGAUUGUUCUCAUCUAGUUCAAUUGAACCAGCGAUCCAAAUUGGCUUGACUCAACCUGAGUUGAAUCAGGGGGGCCAAUGCAUGGGUCUAGGGGAGGGCAUGGGCCGCACAUGGUUGAAGUUGCCCACCCAGCCCAUUUAUUGGGUGCUCGGGCCUUGCCUCGCCUUGCGUAGGCACUCGAUGACUUCACUGCUAUGAUGAGAUUUCCUUAUCAAGAUGAAGUACAAGGAAAGCAAUGGGAAGUGGGAACUCCCUAAUAGUUAUUACAUAUUCCUGUAUUUGUUUUUUCUUAAUCGGAGACCAUUAAGUAUUAAUUGAAUCACAUGCUUUUAACAAAACUUAACAAGCCAAACAUGGGUUCGCUAGAUAACAUAGCAGAUAACAAACAUUGGGAUUAUCAUGCACAUCCAUGGAUUGAUAAAAAUGGUACUUAGAUGUGACUGUUUUUGAGUAAUAAAACCAUUUACAGACUUUGGUUUCAAAUUAGAGAUGCUGGGAACUGAUGGUAUGUUGAUAAAAGCUUUUUCAUUUCUUUCUACCCUUCAGAGAAUUUUAUUUAUUUCGUCAGAUUCAUAGGCCAACCAGUAAGACAUACUGGUUUUUCUUGAUGGAGAAUUUUAUUUGCUUCAUCAGAUUCAUAAGCCUUAACCAGUGAGACUUACACUAUAAUGAUGAUGCUUGCUUGAGGGAUUGAAUAGCGGUACAUCAGCAUCUUGAAAACUUUAGCAAUUUCGGUCUGGCCAUGACAAUAUUUAGUUAUGGUGGAUAUUGCAUAUGCCAGUUCUUUGAUAAUUGUUUUUUCAUGAAAUCUAGUAGUUGAAAGAGAGGGAUUGCAGAGUCUUAUUAUGGUGAUUUACCCAAUCUGAUAGCACUGCCAUAUUUAUUUAAUCCAUCAUUGUCGACAAAUAGCAUAAAAUUAAUAUAUCAUUCUUUUUUUUUUUU